CCUACGGAGGUGCAGCAGUGGGGAAUAUUGGACAAUGGGCGAAAGCCUGAUCCAGCCAUGCCGCGUGUGUGAAGAAGGCCUUCGGGUUGUAAAGCACUUUCAGUGGGGAAGAAAGCCUUGGGGCUAAUACCCUCGAGGAAGGACAUCACCCACAGAAGAAGCACCGGCUAACUCCGUGCCAGCAGCCGCGGUAAUACGGAGGGUGCGAGCGUUAAUCGGAAUUACUGGGCGUAAAGCGCGCGUAGGCGGUCUGAUAAGCCGGUUGUGAAAGCCCCGGGCUCAACCUGGGAACGGCAUCCGGAACUGUCAGGCUAGAGUGCAGGAGAGGAAGGUAGAAUUCCCGGUGUAGCGGUGAAAUGCGUAGAGAUCGGGAGGAAUACCAGUGGCGAAGGCGGCCUUCUGGACUGACACUGACGCUGAGGUGCGAAAGCGUGGGUAGCAAACAGGAUUAGAUACCCUUGUAGUC
rnacentral:rRNA from 1 species